rnacentral:lncRNA from 1 species
UUGGCUUCAGCUGCAUUCGGGUCUGCUCCCCAAACCUUAGAACCAUUGGCGUGCGUGUUGGAUACCGAAGCAAGUUAGUGGGAAUAUCUAUUGAGGAUGCCCCUUGUCUCCAAAGGUUGCUCCAACUUGGCUUAACUAGGGGCUUGGACAUAUCGAUAAUAUCAGCGCCCAACCUGGAGACCGUGGGCCGCCUUCGCUACGAUGACACUUACGGCUUCAGCUUUAAGGUAGCUUUCACCUUCACGUCUAACCUGCAUUUGUCAGCAGGCAGAAUUCAUAUUUUCUGCAUUUUUAUAUGGCCUGAUGCAAUGUUCUGUUCUUCAUAGGGAUUUCCUACUCUGUUCCCUGUGGUGGCACACACCGUCAAGACUUUAUCUAUCGUUGUUGUUCCUCUCAGUGUGGAUAUGGUUCUUGAUCUCAUGUGUUGCUUUCCCUGCUUGGAGAAGUUGUAUAUCCAG